UAAUUAAAUCAUGUCUUUGCCUCUUUAUUCUUGACAGCUGGGACAACAAGUUAGAUACUGUUCUAGACUGUUAAUAAAGGUGAUUCAAAACUGACAAUAUAUAAGAUGACUUUGCUACCUAAAAUAGACAAAGUAGACCACAACCUCAAACUGACCCAAAUGUUCUCGUGGUGUCUUCGUUGGACGGCAGCAUCACCUGCUGGACACCCAUUCUCUCACGUGAACUACAUAUCUGAGAGAUGUUGAUAGGUUUACAUUCCAU